GACGAACGCUGGCGGCGUGCUUAACACAUGCAAGUCGAACGGUGAAAGCGGAGCUUGCUCCGCUGGAUCAGUGGCGAACGGGUGAGUAACACGUGGGCAACCUGCCCCUCACUUCGGGAUAACUCCGGGAAACCGGGGCUAAUACCGGAUAUGACCUCCUUGGGCAUCCUUGGAGGUGGAAAGUUUUUCGGUGAGGGAUGGGCCCGCGGCCUAUCAGCUUGUUGGUGAGGUAGUGGAUCACCCAGGCGACGACGGGUAGCCGGCCUGGGAGGGCAACCGGCCAAACUGGGACUGAGAAACGGCCCAGACUCCUACGGGAGGCAGCAGUGGGGAAUAUUGCGCAAUGGGCGAAAGCCUGACGCAGCAACGCCGCGUGCGGGAUGACGGCCUUCGGGUUGUAAACCGCUUUCAGCAGGGAAGAAGCCGCAAGGUGACGGUACCUGCAGAAGAAGCACCGGCUAACUACGUGCCAGCCGCCGCAGUAA
rnacentral:rRNA from 1 species